rnacentral:lncRNA from 1 species
UGUAGGGACUGAGUUUGCAUGGUUGCUUGGACUAUUUGUCAUUAUGCUUUGGCUUGCUGCAUUGGGUAAGAUGAAUGGUAAGCUAUUGCUAAUGGACUUUGAUCUGCAUUGACCAUGUUAAGUAUGUGACGUUUAGGUAUCCCUGCUGGUCUUGUUGUACAGGCUUGGUAGGCAUCACACAGGUGUUUAUGUUUAAUGUUUUGGGGACUCGUUCAGGGUCAUGAUUCCACUGACUUAUAAUAAGCUUCAAUGAAGGAUUAUUGUCCAUUGUUUCCCACCUGCUUGUUGCCUUAAUGAACUGGUUUUUGAAGCUUCCAUGUAGGAUUAUGCAGG